UACGUAGGGGGCUAGCGUUGUCCGGAUUUACUGGGCGUAAAGAGCGCGCAGGCGGUCGGCCAAGUCGAGUGUGAAAGCCCCCGGCUCAACUGGGGAGGGUCACUUGAUACUGGUCGACUCGAAGGCGGGAGAGGGAAGUGGAAUUCCCGGUGUAGUGGUGAAAUGCGUAGAUAUCGGGAGGAACACCGGUGGCGAAGGCGCCCACCUGGCCUGCUACUGACGCUGAAGCUCGAAAGCUAGGGGAGCAAACGGG
rnacentral:rRNA from 1 species